AGAUUGAACGCUGGCGGCAUGCCUAACACAUGCAAGUCGAACGGCAGCGCGGGUAGCAAUACCUGGCGGCGAGUGGCGGACGGGUGAGGAAUACAUCGGAAUCUACCCAGUCGUGGGGGAUAACGCAUCGAAAGGUGCGCUAAUACCGCAUACGACGGAGACGUGAAAGCGGAGGACCGUAAGGCUUCGCGCGAUUGGAUGAGCCGAUGUCGGAUUAGCUAGUUGGCGGGUAAGAGCCCACCAAGGCGACGAUCCGUAGCUGGUCUGAGAGGAUGAUCAGCCACACUGGGACUGAGACACGGCCCAGACUCCGUACGGGAGGCAGGCAGGUGGGGAAUAGUUAGGACAAGUGGGCGCAAGCCUGACUCCAGCAAUCGCCGCGUGUGUGAAGAAGGUCCUUACGGGUUAGUAAAGCUAACGUUUUAGUACGGAGACGAAAGCACGUAGGACUAAGUACCCGAGU
rnacentral:rRNA from 1 species